ACAAAAAAAAAGAAAAAUCCUAACCCAGCCACCGCACUCACCACCGGCGCCAUUCCACUUGCCCCCACCGCGCUGCUGGUUCCCCUAGCUGACCACCCUCGACCGACCACCCUUGACCGAUCACCUGAACGAGCACCACGCUGACCCUUAAACACCGUACCCAGCUCAGCCCAGCCCCGAUUCAAUUUGAUUUCUUGAAACGGGUUAGGGUUCAGGUGAGGGAGGUUUGUGGGUAAUGUGGGUUGGGAUUUCGAUUUUCGACGAAAGGUCUAGGUAAGGAAGAAGAUUUUGGCGACGAUGGUGGUGAUAUAGCCGAGGUAGCUAUUGGUGCCGUGAUGUAGGAGUUCGGCGGCGUGGGGUGGUUUUCGGGUUUGGACGUUUGGUCGUAUGAGUUCAGCGGCGUGAGUGGUUUUCGGGGAGGGGGAAGGCGAAAUUCGGCGUUGUGGGGUGGUUUUGGUUGGGGAGAUGGGUGUCGCCGGUUUUGGUUGGGGAGAUAGGUGUCGGCGGCGGCCUGGGUUAUAGUGGUUGCGGCUAAAGCGAGGUGGCGCCGGUGGUGGGGCUAGCCGGGUUAAGGGAUUUUUUUUUCUUUUUAUUAUUUCAUCUUUUUUAAACCUAUAGGUUAUUGACACGUGUCAAUUAUGGGCCCCACUAACGGAUUCCAUCCAAGAAUCCGUUAAGUGGUGGUUAAAUCAAAUUUUGGUGUUUUCUUGUGGUGUUAUAAUCAAAAUUUAUUUUUUUGUGGUGUUAUAAACAAAAUUUGUGUUUUUUUGUGGUGUUAUUUUCUAAAAUUUCCUUUUUUUUUUCCAAACAAAAAUUAGUAAAGUAUCAACUCUUUAUGGAACAAAAAUUAAGGGACAGAGGAAAUACAAUAUUACUACCAUAACACUGUAAAGAUAACAUGAUAAAAGAACGGUAAAAAGUAAAAUAUACACUUUGUAAAAGUGUGUUUAUAGAUUGAUUAUUGUGAAAUAAAGUUUUCAAAGGCCGGACUAUUAGUUUGGAUGGAACAGAGGACUUGUCUCUUUGCCAUGAUGAGGUUGCAUUGUAUAGUGCCUUUUGAAAUUAUACAACUUUCAAAAGUUCAAAAGUUGGUGGAUCAUAGCAUUAGCAUUAGCGAGGGUGCGAUUCAUUUGCGUAAUCAUAUCGAUUUCAAUAUAUUGUCCAGACGUGAAUCCUCCCGAGCUUGGAUUUGUUAAACUGCUUGUUUCAUACGGAUGGUUGCGAUGGCCCAAGGAUGCUUGUUGAGCCCGGGAACAACCUAGAUUUUACAGGAAUGAUGAGUCAAUCCCGGAAAUACAACCACUUGAAGACAAAUAAAAUCCACAACAUACAAAAUGGAGGAGACUAAAUAUGAAGACAUGACGGGAAAAUGUGGAUGCUACAAUAUGAAGAAUGCUAUCUCAUUCGGCCAUUCCCCAACUAUCUUAUGUAAACAUAGUUACUUAAACAUAUAUUCAAUAAUAUUUUGCUAA